rnacentral:rRNA from 1 species
GACGAACGCUGGCGGCGUGCUUAACACAUGCCAGUCGAACGGAAAGGCCCUGCUUGCAGGGUACUCGAGUGGCGAACGGGUGAGUAACACGUGGGUGAUCUGCCCUGCACUUCGGGAUAAGCCUGGUAAACUGGGUCUAAUACCGGAUAGGAGCCAUUUUUAGUGUGAUGGUUGGAAAGUUUUUUCGGUGUAGGAUGAGCUCGCGGCCUAUCAGCUUGUUGGUGGGGUAAUGGCCUACCAAGGCGGCGACGGGUAGCCGGCCUGAGAGGGUGGACGGCCACAUUGGGACUGAGAGACGGCCCAGACUCCUACGGGAGGCAGCAGUGGGGAAUAUUGCACAAUGGGCGCAAGCCUGAUGCAGCGACGCCGCGUGGGGGAUGACGGCCUUCGGGUUGUAAACUCCUUUCGCUAGGGACGAAGCUUUUUGUGACGGUACCUAGAUAAGAAGCACCGGCUAACUACGUG